UCAGAUUGAACGCUGGCGGCAGGCCUAACACAUGCAAGUCGAGCGGUAGCACAGAGAGCUUGCUCUCGGGUGACGAGCGGCGGACGGGUGAGUAAUGUCUGGGAAACUGCCUGAUGGAGGGGGAUAACUACUGGAAACGGUAGCUAAUACCGCAUAACGUCGCAAGACCAAAGUGGGGGACCUUCGGGCCUCAUGCCAUCAGAUGUGCCCAGAUGGGAUUAGCUAGUAGGUGGGGUAACGGCUCACCUAGGCGACGAUCCCUAGCUGGUCUGAGAGGAUGACCAGCCACACUGGAACUGAGACACGGUCCAGACUCCUACGGGAGGCAGCAGUGGGGAAUAUUGCACAAUGGGCGCAAGCCUGAUGCAGCCAUGCCGCGUGUGUGAAGAAGGCCUUCGGGUUGUAAAGCACUUUCAGCGGGGAGGAAGGCGUUAAGGUUAAUAACCUUGGCGAUUGACGUUACCCGCAGAAGAAGCACCGGCUAACUCCGUGCCAGCAGCCGCGGUAAUACGGAGGGUGCAAGCGUUAAUCGGAAUUACUGGGCGUAAAGCGCACGCAGGCGGUCUGUCAAGUCGGAUGUGAAAUCCCCGGGCUCAACCUGGGAACUGCAUUCGAAACUGGCAGGCUAGAGUCUUGUAGAGGGGGGUAGAAUUCCAGGUGUAGCGGUGAAAUGCGUAGAGAUCUGGAGGAAUACCGGUGGCGAAGGCGGCCCCCUGGACAAAGACUGACGCUCAGGUGCGAAAGCGUGGGGAGCAAACAGGAUUAGAUACCCUGGUAGUCCACGCCGUAAACGAUGUCGAUUUGGAGGUUGUGCCCUUGAGGCGUGGCUUCCGGAGCUAACGCGUUAAAUCGACCGCCUGGGGAGUACGGCCGCAAGGUUAAAACUCAAAUGAAUUGACGGGGGCCCGCACAAGCGGUGGAGCAUGUGGUUUAAUUCGAUGCAACGCGAAGAACCUUACCUGGUCUUGACAUCCACAGAACUUUCCAGAGAUGGAUUGGUGCCUUCGGGAACUGUGAGACAGGUGCUGCAUGGCUGUCGUCAGCUCGUGUUGUGAAAUGUUGGGUUAAGUCCCGCAACGAGCGCAACCCUUAUCCUUUGUUGCCAGCGGUUAGGCCGGGAACUCAAAGGAGACUGCCAGUGAUAAACUGGAGGAAGGUGGGGAUGACGUCAAGUCAUCAUGGCCCUUACGACCAGGGCUACACACGUGCUACAAUGGCAUAUACAAAGAGAAGCGACCUCGCGAGAGCAAGCGGACCUCAUAAAGUAUGUCGUAGUCCGGAUUGGAGUCUGCAACUCGACUCCAUGAAGUCGGAAUCGCUAGUAAUCGUAGAUCAGAAUGCUACGGUGAAUACGUUCCCGGGCCUUGUACACACCGCCCGUCACACCAUGGGAGUGGGUUGCAAAAGAAGUAGGUAGCUUAACCUUCGGGAGGGCGCUUACCACUUUGUGAUUCAUGACUGGGGUGAAGUCGUA
rnacentral:rRNA from 1 species